rnacentral:rRNA from 1 species
UGCAAGUCGAGCGGUAGCACAGAGAGCUUGCUCUCGGGUGACGAGCGGCGGACGGGUGAGUAAUGUCUGGGAAACUGCCUGAUGGAGGGGGAUAACUACUGGAAACGGUAGCUAAUACCGCAUAACGUCGCAAGACCAAAGUGGGGGACCUUCGGGCCUCAUGCCAUCAGAUGUGCCCAGAUGGGAUUAGCUAGUAGGUGGGGUAACGGCUCACCUAGGCGACGAUCCCUAGCUGGUCUGAGAGGAUGACCAGCCACACUGGAACUGAGACACGGUCCAGACUCCUACGGGAGGCAGCAGUGGGGAAUAUUGCACAAUGGGCGCAAGCCUGAUGCAGCCAUGCCGCGUGUAUGAAGAAGGCCUUCGGGUUGUAAAGUACUUUCAGCGGGGAGGAAGGCGAUAAGGUUAAUAACCUUGUCGAUUGACGUUACCCGCAGAAGAAGCACCGGCUAACUCCGUGCCAGCAGCCGCGGUAAUACGGAGGGUGCAAGCGUUAAUCGGAAUUACUGGGCGUAAAGCGCACGCAGGCGGUCUGUCAAGUCGGAUGUGAAAUCCCCGGGCUCAACCUGGGAACUGCAUUCGAAACUGGCAGGCUAGAGUCUUGUAGAGGGGGGUAGAAUUCCAGGUGUAGCGGUGAAAUGCGUAGAGAUCUGGAGGAAUACCGGUGGCGAGGGCGGCCCCCUGGACAAAGACUGACGCUCAGUGCGAAAGCGUGGGGAGCAAACAGGAUGUAGAUACCCUGGUAGUCCACGCCGUAACGAUGUCGAUUUGGAGGUUGUGCCCUUUGAGGCGUGGCUUCCGGAGCUAACGCGUUAAAUCGACCGCCUGGGG